UACGUAGGGGGCUAGCGUUGUCCGGAAUCAUUGGGCGUAAAGCGCGCGUAGGCGGCCCGGUAAGUCCGCUGUGAAAGUCAAAGGCUCAACCUUUGAAUGUCAGCGGAUACUGCCGGGCUAGAGUCCGGAAGAGGCGAGUGGAACUCCUGGUGUAGCGGUGGAAUGCGCAGAUAUCAGGAGGAACACCCGUGGCGAAAGCGGCUCUCUGGGACGGUACUGACGCUGAGACGCGAAAGCGUGGGGAGCAAACAGG
rnacentral:rRNA from 1 species